rnacentral:rRNA from 1 species
AGAGUUUGAUCCUGGCUCAGGAUGAACGCUAGCGGCAGGCUUAACACAUGCAAGUCGAGGGGCAGCAUAAUGGAUAGCAAUAUCUAUGGUGGCGACCGGCGCACGGGUGCGUAACGCGUAUGCAACCUACCUUUAACAGGGGGAUAACACUGAGAAAUUGGUACUAAUACCCCAUAAUAUCAUAGAAGGCAUCUUUUAUGGUUGAAAAUUCCGAUGGUUAGAGAUGGGCAUGCGUUGUAUUAGCUAGUUGGUGGGGUAACGGCUCACCAAGGCGACGAUACAUAGGGGGACUGAGAGGUUAACCCCCCACACUGGUACUGAGACACGGACCAGACUCCUACGGGAGGCAGCAGUGAGGAAUAUUGGUCAAUGGACGCAAGUCUGAACCAGCCAUGCCGCGUGCAGGAUGACGGCUCUAUGAGUUGUAAACUGCUUUUGUACGAGGGUAAACGCAGAUACGUGUAUCUGUCUGAAAGUAUCGUACGAAUAAGGAUCGGCUAACUCCGUGCCAGCAGCCGCGGUAAUACGGAGGAUUCAAGCGUUAUCCGGAUUUAUUGGGUUUAAAGGGUGCGUAGGCGGUUUGAUAAGUUAGAGGUGAAAUUUCGGGGCUCAACCCUGAACGUGCCUCUAAUACUGUUGAGCUAGAGAGUAGUUGCGGUAGGCGGAAUGUAUGGUGUAGCGGUGAAAUGCUUAGAGAUCAUACAGAACACCGAUUGCGAAGGCAGCUUACCAAACUAUAUCUGACGUUGAGGCACGAAAGCGUGGGGAGCAAACAGGAUUAGAUACCCUGGUAGUCCACGCAGUAAACGAUGAUAACUCGUUGUCGGCGAUACACAGUCGGUGACUAAGCGAAAGCGAUAAGUUAUCCACCUGGGGAGUACGUUCGCAAGAAUGAAACUCAAAGGAAUUGACGGGGGCCCGCACAAGCGGAGGAACAUGUGGUUUAAUUCGAUGAUACGCGAGGAACCUUACCCGGGCUU